CACCCGAGACUCAGUGAAAUUGAACUCGCUGUGAAGAUGCAGUGUACCCGCGGCAAGACGGAAAGACCCCGUGAACCUUUACUAUAGCUUGACACUGAACAUUGAGCCUUGAUGUGUAGGAUAGGUGGGAGGCUUUGAAGCGUGGACGCCAGUCUGCGUGGAGCCGACCUUGAAAUACCACCCUUUAAUGUUUGAUGUUCUAACGUGGACCCGUAAUCCGGGUUGCGGACAGUGUCUGGUGGGUAGUUUGACUGGGGCGGUCUCCUCCUAAAGAGUAACGGAGGAGCACGAAGGUUGGCUAAUCCUGGUCGGACAUCAGGAGGUUAGUGCAAUGGCAUAAGCCAGCUUGACUGCGAGCGUGACGGCGCGAGCAGGUGCGAAAGCAGGUCAUAGUGAUCCGGUGGUUCUGAAUGGAAGGGCCAUCGCUCAACGGAUAAAAGGUACUCCGGGGAUAACAGGCUGAUACCGCCCAAGAGUUCAUAUCGACGGCGGUGUUUGGCACCUCGAUGUCGGCUCAUCACAUCCUGGGGCUGAAGUAGGUCCCAAGGGUAUGGCUGUUCGCCAUUUAAAGUGGUACGCGAGCUGGGUUUAGAACGUCGUGAGACAGUUCGGUCCCUA
rnacentral:rRNA from 1 species